rnacentral:rRNA from 1 species
GGUGUAGGCGGCCGCGUAAGUGUGAUGUGAAAGCCCACGGCUUAACCGUGGAAUGGCAUCGCAUACUGCGUGGCUUGAGGCCGGUAGAGGUGUCUGGAACUCUCGGUGGAGCGGUGAAAUGCGUAGAUAUCGAGAGGAACGCCAGAGGCGAAAGCGGGGCACUGGGCCGGUUCUGACGCUGAGACCCGAAAGCGUGGGGAGCAAACAGGAUUAGAUACCCUGGUAGUCCACGCUGUAAACGAUGCACACUAGGCGUCGGGGCUUCUGAAAGCACCGGCGUCGGAGAAAAAUUGUUAAGUGUGCCGCCUGGGGAGUACGGCCGCAAGGCUAAA